UAAAUGAAGUUAGCCAGUUAGUUCUCAUGUGAUAAUGGUGCUUUUUUGAAUUAGGUUCCUGCAGUUACUUUGGAUGUGAAAUCCGCAAGAAAAGCUUGAUCUUGGACAACCAUAGUCUCGAGUGUUCGGUUGCUGAAACGUUAGGAUGGACGAACCACAGAAGGAUCAGCCGGCAGCAGACCAGAAGAUGAAGGACUCUGGGAAGAACUCUGAACAGCAGCCAGUCACAGCGUGUCUGUUCAGCGCAGCCUUCUUCGGGGCCCUUGGGUCAUCUUUCAUUUAUGGCUACAACCUCUCCGUGGUCAACGCUCCUGCUU